rnacentral:rRNA from 1 species
AUUGAACGCUGGCGGCAUGCUUUACACAUGCAAGUCGAACGGUAACAGGGUGCUUGCACCGCUGACGAGUGGCGAACGGGUGGGUAAUGCGUCGGAACGUGCCGAGUAGUGGGGGAUAACGCAGCGAAAGUUGUGCUAAUACCGCAUACGUACUGAGGUAGAAAGUGGGGGACCUUCGGGCCUCACGCUAUUCGAGCGGCCGACGUCUGAUUAGCUAGUAGGUGAGGUAAAGGCUCACCUAGGCGACGAUCAGUAGCGGGUCUGAGAGGAUGAUCCGCCACACUGGGACUGAGACACGGCCCAGACCCCUACGGGAGGCAGCAGUGGGGAAUUUUGGACAAUGGGCGAAAGCCUGAUCCAGCCAUGCCGCGUGUCUGAAGAAGGCCUUCGGGUUGUAAAGGACUUUUGUCAGGGAGGAAAUCCCUAGUGCUAAUAACACUGGGGGAUGACAGUACCUGAAGAAUAAGCACCGGCUAACUACGUGCCAGCAGCCGCAGUAA